rnacentral:piRNA from 1 species
UUUGACUCGUGAGAUAAGCACAACACUGCC